rnacentral:rRNA from 1 species
GCGUGAGGAACCUGCCUUGGAGAGGGGAAUAACACUCCGAAAGGAGUGCUAAUACCGCAUGAUGCAGUUGAGUCGCAUGGCUCUGACUGCCAAAGAUUUAUCGCUCUGAGAUGGCCUCGCGUCUGAUUAGCUAGUAGGCGGGGUAACGGCCCACCUAGGCGACGAUCAGUAGCCGGACUGAGAGGUUGACCGGCCACAUUGGGACUGAGACACGGCCCAAACUCCUACGGGAGGCAGCAUG